rnacentral:rRNA from 1 species
GAUGAACGCUGGCGGCGUGCCUAAUACAUGCAAGUCGAGCGAACGGACGAGAAGCUUGCUUCUCUGAUGUUAGCGGCGGACGGGUGAGUAACACGUGGAUAACCUACCUAUAAGACUGGGAUAACUUCGGGAAACCGGAGCUAAUACCGGAUAAUAUUUUGAACCGCAUGGUUCAAAAGUGAAAGACGGUCUUGCUGUCACUUAUAGAUGGAUCCGCGCUGCAUUAGCUAGUUGGUAAGGUAACGGCUUACCAAGGCAACGAUGCAUAGCCGACCUGAGAGGGUGAUCGGCCACACUGGAACUGAGACACGGUCCAGACUCCUACGGGAGGCAGCAGUAGGGAAUCUUCCGCAAUGGGCGAAAGCCUGACGGAGCAACGCCGCGUGAGUGAUGAAGGUCUUCGGAUCGUAAAACUCUGUUAUUAGGGAAGAACAUAUGUGUAAGUAACUGUGCACAUCUUGACGGUACCUAAUCAGAAAGCCACGGCUAACUACGUGCCAGCAGCCGCGGUAAUACGUAGGUGGCAAGCGGUAUCCGGAAUUAUUGGGCGUAAAGCGCGCGUAGGCGGUUUUUUAGUCUGAUGUGAAAGCCCACGGCUCAACCGUGGAGGGUCAUUGGAAACUGGAAAACUUGAGUGCAGAAGAGGAAAGUGGAAUUCCAUGUGUAGCGGUGAAAUGCGCAGAGAUAUGGAGGAACACCAGUGGCGAAGGCGACUUUCUGGUCUGUAACUGACGCUGAUGUGCGAAAGCGUGGGGAUCAAACAGGAUUAGAUACCCUGGUAGUCCACGCCGUAAACGAUGAGUGCUAAGUGUUAGGGGGUUUCCGCCCCUUAGUGCUGCAGCUAACGCAUUAAGCACUCCGCCUGGGGAGUACGACCGCAAGGUUGAAACUCAAAGGAAUUGACGGGGACCCGCACAAGCGGUGGAGCAUGUGGUUUAAUUCGAAGCAACGCGAAGAACCUUACCAAAUCUUGACAUCCUUUGACAACUCUAGAGAUAGAGCCUUCCCCUUCGGGGGACAAAGUGACAGGUGGUGCAUGGUUGUCGUCAGCUCGUGUCGUGAGAUGUUGGGUUAAGUCCCGCAACGAGCGCAACCCUUAAGCUUAGUUGCCAUCAUUAAGUUGGGCACUCUAAGUUGACUGCCGGUGACAAACCGGAGGAAGGUGGGGAUGACGUCAAAUCAUCAUGCCCCUUAUGAUUUGGGCUACACACGUGCUACAAUGGACAAUACAAAGGGCAGCGAAACCGCGAGGUCAAGCAAAUCCCAUAAAGUUGUUCUCAGUUCGGAUUGUAGUCUGCAACUCGACUACAUGAAGCUGGAAUCGCUAGUAAUCGUAGAUCAGCAUGCUACGGUGAAUACGUUCCCGGGUCU